rnacentral:rRNA from 1 species
CAAGUCGAGCGGUAACAGGAAUAGCUUGCUAUUUGCUGACGAGCGGCGGACGGGUGAGUAAAGCGUAGGAAUCUGCCUAGUAGAGGGGGACAACAUGUGGAAACGCAUGCUAAUACCGCAUAAUCCCUUCGGGGGAAAGGAGGGGACCUUUUGGCCUUCCGCUAUUAGAUGAGCCUGCGUGAGAUUAGCUAGUUGGUAGGGUAAAGGCCUACCAAGGCGACGAUCUCUAGCUGGUCUGAGAGGAUGAUCAGCCACACUGGGACUGAGACACGGCCCAGACUCCUACGGGAGGCAGCAGUGGGGAAUAUUGGACAAUGGGGGCAACCCUGAUCCAGCCAUACCGCGUGUGUGAAGAAGGCCUUAGGGUUGUAAAGCACUUUCAGAAGUGAGAAAAGGUUGUCGGUUAAUACCCGAUAAUUUUGAUGUUAGCUUCAGAAGAAGCACCGGCUAACUCUGUGCCAGCAGCCGCGGUAAUACAGAGGGUGCGAGCGUUAAUCGGAAUUACUGGGCGUAAAGCGCGCGUAGGUGGUUUGUUAAGUCGGAUGUGAAACCCCCGGGCUCAACCUGGGACUUGCACCCGAUACUGGCAGGCUAGAGUACGAUAGAGGAGUGUGGAAUUUCCUGUGUAGCGGUGAAAUGCGUAGAUAUAGGAAGGAACAUCAGUGGCGAAGGCGACACU